UGGGGAAUAUUGCACAAUGGGCGCAAGCCUGAUGCAGCCAUGCCGCGUGUAUGAAGAAGGCCUUCGGGUUGUAAAGUACUUUCAGCGGGGAGGAAGGGAGUAAAGUUAAUACCUUUGCUCAUUGACGUUACCCGCAGAAGAAGCACCGGCUAACUCUGUGCCAGCAGCCGCGGUAAUACGGAGGGUGCAAGCGUUAAUCGGAAUUACUGGGCGUAAAGCGCACGCAGGCGGUUUGUUAAGUCAGAUGUGAAAUCCCCGGGCUCAACCUGGGAACUGCAUCUGAUACUGGCAAGCUUGAGUCUCGUAGAGAGGGGUAGAAUUCCAGGUGUAGCAGUGAAAUGCGUAGAGAUCUGGAGGAAUACCGGUGGCGAAGGCGGCCCCCUAGACGAAGACUGACGCUCAGGUGCGAAAGCGUGGGGAGCAAACAGG
rnacentral:rRNA from 1 species